rnacentral:ncRNA from 2 species
CGACACAUCCCUGGAGAGACCUUUUUGUAAGGCAUCGAAGAAGCAACCGUUAUCGGGAAUCUUUCAGAUAAAAAGACAGGGGGAAGCAA